GGUGACCAAAGUUCUCUCUUUCACCAGUCUUUAAUUUGCAAAAAGGAUUAUUAAUAUCAAAACCUGCAAUUACGUUUGCACCAACCUAAUAUUUAAACGACAUCACUUAAUCUGCAUUUAUCAAGAAGUACUCAGCAUUUCAAGGCCUUCUCCUCGACAAUGCCGCAGAAACUACUCAUCAAAUUAAGCAAUGAAUUCCACAUAGAUAUAGCCAAAGGUUGCAAUCCUUGUGUGGCCCUGCCUGGAAGCCUUCUCUCAUUCAGAGCUAGUAGAUACAGGAAGAAGAGUGAAGGAAGAGGAGUAGUGAAAAUAGGCAUGGAAGCCUGCCUCUAAGCCUCCAGGUGCUGGAAGCAGACAGAGAGGUCAAUUAUACAAAAAUGGAAAGACCAGAAACAGACUGGAAGAAAAUAUUUGCAAAACAUGUGUCAGGAAAAGGUUGUGUAUCCUAUAUAUAUAACUAAUUUUUGAACUCAUUUGUAAGAUAAUCAAACUGAUUAAAAAGAAAUGUGCAAAAAUGUGAGCAGCAUUUCACCAAAUAUGGUGUGUGUAUGUGUGUGUGUGUGUAUGUGUGUGAUGCAUAAGCAUGUGGAAAUAUACCCAACAUUGUUAAUCAUUUGAGAAAUACAAACUAAACCAUAAGAAUACACCAUCACAUAGUUGUUAAGAUGGCUAAAAUUACAAAGUUUGUUAAUACCUAGGGUUGUUAAAAGUGUGGAUCAACUGGACCUCUCAUUCAUUGUUGGUGGGAAUAUAAAAUGCUACAAUCAACUGGGAAAUAAAUAGUUCAGCAGUUUCCUAUUAAGUUAAAGAUACACUUAUAAACAGUCAGUGAUUCAACUCCCAGAUAUUUAUCCAGCAGAUAUGAAAAAUAUCCAUACAAAGCUUAUAUCCACACAAAACUUACAUUCCCCACAAUGGAAAAAAAGGAUCUCUGCUUUAGAUCUAGUUGUUAGAGAAAGUCUGUAUAAGAAUGAUUUAACUUAAAGCUUGAUUGGCAGGAAGAAGCAAGCCAUGCCAAAUCUAGGAAAAAUAUUAAACACUAAACAAGUAGCUGGCACAAAAGCUCUAAGAUAGUAACAAAAGUGGCUAGAAAGAAAGCUAAUAUUUAUUUAGAAGAAUGAGCUAAUAUAGUUAUGGCAGGCAGUGAAAUUAUCAAGAAAUAUGGAAGCCAUACCAAAGAAAAUUCUAAAGCCCAGUUGUAGAAUUAAAAAUCAACCAUCAGUAUUUUCCAACAACAGUGUAACUAAAAAUAUUAUAAGCAACAGACAACAGUAUUCUGACUUCACAAAUAUCCAGAUUGUGUGUUUAUAUUAUAAUUCCUUCUCUAUGUAUACCAUGUAAAACCUCCAUGUAUCUUAAAAGACAGUGAUGUUAAUAUCAAUACUGGCAGAAAUAACUUGACUGGUAUAUAAUUAAUUGUCCAAUCUACCUGGGCCUGGUGGCUCACACCUGUAAUCCCAGCACUUUGGGAGGCUGAGGCAGGUAGAUUACUUGAGCCCAGGAAUUCAAGACCAGUCUGGCAACAUGACUAAACCCCGUUUCUACAAAAAUUACAAAAAUUAGCCUAGCUCGGCAUGGUGGUGCAUGCUUGUAGUUCCAGCUACUCAGGAGAUUGAGGUGGAAAAAUCAACUGAGCCCAGGAAGUUGAAGCUAUAAUGAGUCAUGAUUGCUCUACUGUACUUCACCUUGAACGACAGAGUGAGAACCUGUCUCAAAAAAAAUUGUUCAAUCUAAUGCCACAUUAUAUUUUGCUUUAUAUUUGGGGUAUAUUUUAUUUCAUAGUUUAUUAUUUUUCCCUUCAUGAGUUCUAAUAGUUUUCUCCUCGACCUAAGGUUAAUCCACUUUUACCAUAUGCUUAUCAUCUAGUGCAUAGAACCUCCCUUUUUGUCAAAGCACUCUAAUUGUUGCUUUCUACUCAUUUCAGAAUGAAUGUUUUCUAUAUGCCUGCUGCAAUGCAUAUCUUUUCCUGUUACUUAUUUUCCUUGAACUCAUGGAUUAGAGUUUCUCUUCUAUAUUUUUUGUUUGCAAUUUUCUUCCUUAUUUGUUAUAAUUCACCUUCAAUUAACUUGUUUGGCUAAAGUAUAUGAAAACAAAACCUUUGGAAUUCUUGCACAUGCAAAAAUGUUACUAUGAUGUUCUCACAUAUGUUUGUAUAAUGUGUAUAAUUGCUUACUAUACAUAUUAAUUAAAGAUUCAAAAUUGCUUUCUA